CAACGCAUCUUUGGUACAGUUAAAUAGCUAGACAUGGCAUAGGAAAACCGUGGAAGAUGCUAGCUAGCUAUCCAGUUAGCCGAGACAUUUCAGCGUGACAAAAUUAAUUCGCAGUAUUGUACAUGGAAUGGUGGAUCGUGUGAUGCGGUUUCUGGACUCUGUCAUAUCUUGCUGCUGAUCGCUGGAAAUUCUUGGCCACGUUCCCAGCAGCGCAAGGUCAUGGCUAAAAGGGAUCCAUCUUUUGUCAUAUUAACUUCAAAAGUAAAUGUUUGCAUUUUACAAAACCCUUUUCCUAACCUUAACCUAAGUCUCAUAACCUGCUACGUUAAUUAUACUAACCUGCUGCAUAAGUUCUAGCCUGCUACGAAAAUUAAAUUAAAUUAAUUUGACAAAAGCUGCAUCCCUUCUAGCCAUGGCGCACCGCAGCCUCCUGGGGCUGAUUUAGCCAAUGUUCCCACCCAGGAAUCCAGGACUUCUGACAGCAACCAGGCCAGACUCCGUCAGCCUCUCCCGGGCUGUGGCCCAAGGCCAGCCAGGAACCUGUCCCUCAAAAGGCUGUCUCCCGUCUUCAUGGAGCUCCCAGAGAAACAGCCACUCUCUUUUCUUUAAUGACAAUUUCUCAAAACUGCCUGCCACACCCCAUUUGUUUUCUCUCCCCCCUGACCUCUCCCGCCCCACAUGGUCUGGAAGCAGUUAAAACCAUGCUGUUAGAUGUGAAGGCCAAGGUUAAAUGGGGACAGUUUAAUGGCAACAUUUGAACAGAGCUUUUUCAUGUUGAAACAAGUAUUUUUUAGACUUUGUUAAAGCUUGUUUGGAUUAAAUAUCAGUUUUCGAUUA